GUGCUCGCUUCGGCAGCACAUACACUAAAAAUUGGAAUGAUACAGAGAAGAUUAGCAUGACCCCUGCACAAGGAUGACACACAAAUUCGUGAAGCAUUCCAUAUUUUU
ensembl:snRNA Gm23645 predicted gene, 23645